rnacentral:piRNA from 1 species
UGGCACGAUGAUCUCUGCGGCCG